UACAGAGGGCGCAAACGUUUGUUCGGAUUUACUGGGCGUAAAGCGCGUGUAGGCUGCUUCGCAAGUCGGAUGUGAAAGCCCUGGGCUCAACCCAGGAAGUGCAUUCGAAACUGCAGAGCUGGAGUCCUGGAGAGGAAGGCGGAAUUCUCGGUGUAGAGGUGAAAUUCGUAGAUAUCGAGAGGAACACCGGUGGCGAAGGCGGCCUUCUGGACAGUGACUGACGCUGAGACGCGAAAGCGUGGGGAGCAAACAGG
rnacentral:rRNA from 1 species